UCUUUGGAGAAUUUGGGGAGCAGCUUCCUAAUAGUCUUAGAGAAAUCAGGAACCCCAUUGGCAUUUGAAAAGCAAAAAUUCUCAUUUUUAAGUUUAAAGCCUUUAAGAGACAGUGGAAUAACAGAUUUCAAAACAAUGAGUUCUCCACAACCCUUGGACCAUGACCCCUGGACGGCAGCAGAAAGAGAAUGAUACAAAUUGUGGGAAUGGAGAACCUAAGAGCAGCUUGCUCUAGCCCAGCAGAGAACAUGUCAAGGGUGACUCAUCUGCUUUCUCGUAAAGUCUUCAACUGACCGGGUGAAAAUCACCCACAUUAUAGAAGCUGCAGGAACAAACUAAGACACUGGGUAAGGAAGAAAAGCAAACAAACAAACAAACAAACAAAAAGCAGUGGCACAAUGGAGAGUAAGUGGGGGAGUUGGAGGAAAAGAAGCCACAGAACAAACACCACCUAAAGGAGUUAAACCUCCAACUUCUCCAAGAUUUGGUGAGAGAAGA